rnacentral:misc_RNA from 1 species
UCCGGCUUGUCACCGGCAGUCUGCUGUGAGUCCCCGACUUGACUCGCUGGUAACACAGCAUAGGGGUUGCGCUCGUUGCGGGACUUAACCCAACAUCUCACGACACGAGCUGACGACAACCAUGCAGCACCUGUCUCCACGCUCCCGAAGGCACUCCUCCCUUUCAGGAGGAUUCGUAGGAUGUCAAGCCCAGGUAAGGUUCUUCGCGUUGCGUCGAAUUAAACCACAUGCUCCACUGCUUGUGCGGGCCCCCGUCAAUUCCUUUGAGUUUCAACCUUGCGGUCGUAGUCCCCAGGCGGGAUACUUAUUGCGUUAACUCCGGCACGGAAGGGGUCGAUACCUCCCACACCUAGUAUCCAUCGUUUACGGCGUGGACUAC